rnacentral:rRNA from 1 species
UACGAAGGGGGCUAGCGUUGCUCGGAAUCACUGGGCGUAAAGGGUGCGUAGGCGGGUCUUUUAAGUCAGGGGUGAAAUCCUGGGAGCUCAACUCCAGAACUGCCUUUGAUACUGAGGAUCUUGAGUUCGGGAGAGGUGAGUGGAACUGCGAGUGUAGAGGUGAAAUUCGUAGAUAUCGGGAGGAACACCGGUGGCGAAGGCGGCGAUCUGGGUCGAGUACUGACGCUGAGGUGGCGAAAGCGUGGGGAG